GAUGAACGCUGGCGGCGUGCCUAAUACAUGCAAGUCGAGCGAACGGACGAGAAGCUUGCUUCUCUGAUGUUAGCGGCGGACGGGUGAGUAACACGUGGAUAACCUACCUAUAAGACUGGGAUAACUUCGGGAAACCGGAGCUAAUACCGGAUAAUAUUUUGAACCGCAGGGUUCAAAAGUGAAAGACGGUCUUGCUGUCACUUAUAGAUGGAUCCGCGCUGCAUUAGCUAGUUGGUAAGGUAACGGCUUACCAAGGCAACGAUGCAUAGCCGACCUGAGAGGGUGAUCGGCCACACUGGAACUGAGACACGGUCCAGACUCCUACGGGAGGCAGCAGUAGGGAAUCUUCCGCAAAGGGCGAAAGCCUGACGGAGCAACGCCGCGUGAGUGAUGAAGGUCUUCGGAUCGUAAAACUCUGUUAUUAGGGAAGAACAUAUGUGUAAGUAACUGUGCACAUCUUGACGGUACCUAAUCAGAAAGCCACGGCUAAUUACGUG
rnacentral:rRNA from 1 species